rnacentral:rRNA from 1 species
AUGGAUCAUCUUAUCAUGGAUGACGUCCUCGCGACGCCGAUCACCACACAAUCAUCAUGUUGCGGCAUCGCACCGCAACUAACCAUCAACGCCAUCGUGCUGCCAAUAGCGCCCACCUUGCGCCGUCUUGCCGUGGACGACGCUGUCGUGGCGCCGAGUACCACGACCUCUUGCCGCAUGCAGCGGCCAUGUCUUCACGUGGACGACGCCUUCGCGGCGCCGAUCGCCACGCCGUCUUCUCCUCAUAACGGCCUCGUGCCGUCGUACCUCCCAUCGGCGUCACACCGUCGUCUUGUGGCAGCUUCGCACCGCCAUCAUCUAGCGGCAUCACACCGCAACCGGCCACCGGCAGCAUCGCGCCGCCGACGGCCACCCACCUCGUGCCGACGUCCUCCACCUCACAUGGAGUCCGCCGCGUCGUCGUCGCCGCCAUCGCUUCCGCGGAUCGACAAGGCUCUAAUGCCAAUCGUUGGCGCCGCCUCCUCGCAGCGCCGCUCUUCUUCUUCUACCUCGAGCUGCCUCGCACAACUCUCUCUUCUCUCUUCUAUGGUUUCUCUCAAGAACACCUGA